rnacentral:rRNA from 1 species
GAUGAACGCUGGCGGCGUGCCUAAUACAUGCAAGUCGAGCGAACAGACGAGGAGCUUGCUCCUCUGUCGUUAGCGGCGGACGGGUGAAAAACACGUGGAUAACCCACCUAUAAUACUGGUAUAACCUCGGGAAACCGGCUACAAUACCGGAGAAUAUAUUGAACCGCAUGGUUCAAUAGUGAAAGACGGUUUUGCUGUCACUUAUAGAGGGUUCCGCGCCGCAUUAGCUAGUUGGUAAGGUAACGGCUUACCAAGGCAACGAUGCGUAGCCGACCUGAGAGGGUGAUCGGCCACACUGGAACUGAGACACGGUCCAGACUCCUACGGGAGGCAGCAGUAGGGAAUCUUCCGCAAUGGGCGAAAGCCUGACGGAGCAACGCCGCGUGAGUGAUGAAGGUCUUCGGAUCGUAAAACUCUGUUAUUAGGGAAGAACAAAUGUGUAAGUAACUAUGCACGUCUUGACGGUACCUAAUCAGAAAGCCACGGCUAACUACGUG